GGAUUAGAUACCCUGGUAGUCCACGCCGUAAACGAUGCGCACUAGGUCGGAGGGGCUUUCACGCCUUUCCGGCCGAAGUAAAAACGUUAAGUGCGCCGCCUGGGGAGUACGGUCGCAAGGCUAAAACUCAAAGGAAUUGACGGGGGCUCACACAAGCGGUGGAGCAUGUUGCUUAAUUCGAGACAACGCGAAGAACCUUACCUGGGUUUGACAUGCACGGAUUAGCUUUGGGAAACCUAAGUGACACCUUUUAGGUGGAACGUGCACAGGUGCUGCAUGGCUGUCGUCAGCUCGUGCCG
rnacentral:rRNA from 1 species